UUUUAGGCAAUCAAACCCAAUAAUCAAUAAUCAAUACCGUAUAUUUGGUAAAGAGUAAGGCAAUCUGACCUAUUAAUACCGGUUAAUUGUCCAUAAAUGACAAUUAAUUCCGAUCGACAUACUUCUUAUAGUACAAUUUUAAUUAAAUUUAACCUUGUAAAAUAUAAAUUAAUGUUAAUUUUAAUUAAAUUUAACUUAAUAAAAUAAAAAUUAAAUUUUUCGUUUUAUUUUUUGCGGGUAGCAGA
rnacentral:lncRNA from 1 species